CGGGCAGCCGGGCGGUGAGGAAGGUGAGGUGACGACGCUCCGCCGUUCGGAAAUAUUGGAAACCUUUACCAUGUCAUUGUUUUCCCUUAUCGCAAAGUGCCGAAGCCCGUACUUAUGAAUGGAUCUUGUGAAUGAAACUUUGCAAUUAUCGGAGUUCCGUGUGUAGCCAAGACAGAGAGAAUAAUAAUAAGAAACAUUGUACUAAAAAAAAAAAAAAAAACGUGUAGAUUACCUCCAGCUGAUUACGUCCUUAUAAAUCUGCGGGUUUUCAUCGUCUGUUUCGCGGAUUAAAAAAAAGAAAAAGAAAAGUAAAGAAGAAAAGAAAAAAGACGAAGGGAAAUCAUACAAAAAUAGAUAUAUAAAAAGAAAGAAAUCGAAGCGGUUCGAACAUCCAGGAGCAUUUUUUUCGAACUCUACUGCUAAAGUUUGAAUCCCCUGCUAUAACAAGGUGCUAUCACAAAGUACCUUUUUCUCUCCUAAAAUCGAAGUCGUACCAUGAAGAGGCCUCAGAGGGAGAGCCCCGAGGCGUAAGAGCGAGUCGAAGAGAAGACUCACGCGCCCACGCCUCUCAGAGCACGCCCGCACUCCUCGAGGACGCCCAUCCGGUCUCGGAAGCGGCCGCCCGCGCGAUCUGCCUCCCCCCUCCCCCAC